rnacentral:rRNA from 1 species
CCUACGGGAGGCAGCAGUGGGGAAUAUUGGGCAAUGGGCGCAAGCCUGACCCAGCAACGCCGCGUGAAGGAAGAAGGCUUUCGGGUUGUAAACUUCUUUUCUCAGGGACGAAGCAAGUGACGGUACCUGAGUAAUAAGCCACGGCUAACUACGUGCCAGCAGCCGCGGUAAUACGUAGGUGGCAAGCGUUAUCCGGAUUUACUGGGUGGAAAGGGCGUGGAGGCGGGACUGCAAGUCAGAUGUGAAAACCACGGGCUCAACCUGGGGCCUGCGUUUGGAACUGUAGUUCUUGAGUAAUGGAGAGGCAGACGGAAUUCCUAGUGUAGCGGUGAAAUGCGUAGAUAGUAGGAGGAACACCAGUGGCGAAGGCGGUCUGCUGGACAGCAACUGACGCUGAGGCGCGAAAGCGUGGGGAGCAAACAGGAUUAGAUACCCCUGUAGUC